rnacentral:rRNA from 1 species
UACGGAGGGUGCGAGCGUUGUCCGGAAUCACUGGGCGUAAAGGGCGCGUAGGCGGCCACCGCAAGUCGACUGUGAAAUCUCCGGGCUUAACCCGGAAAGGUCAGCCGAUACUGCGGGGCUAGAGUGCAGAAGGGGCAACUGGAAUUCUCGGUGUAGCGGUGAAAUGCGUAGAUAUCGAGAGGAACACCUGCGGCGAAGGCGGGUUGCUGGGCUGACACUGACACUGAGGCGCGAAAGCUAGGGGAGCGAACGGG